UACGGAGGGUGCAAGCGUUAUCCGGAUUCACUGGGUUUAAAGGGUGCGUAGGAGGGCAGGUAAGUCAGUGGUGAAAUCUCCGAGCUUAACUUGGAAACUGCCGUUGAUACUAUCUGUCUUGAAUAUUGUGGAGGUGAGCGGAAUAUGUCAUGUAGCGGUGAAAUGCUUAGAUAUGACAUAGAACACCAAUUGCGAAGGCAGCUGGCUACACGAAUAUUGACACUGAUGCACGAAAGCGUGGGGAUCAAACAGG
rnacentral:rRNA from 1 species